rnacentral:lncRNA from 1 species
GAGUGGGAAUUGCAGAGGGCUCCGUAUCCUUUAAGGAACAGCAUCCUGCUGAUCCAGAGGAAGGGUCCCGUUCAAAGCGCCCCAAGACCGUGAUGCUCACUGCAUGGAGGUUUCGGGGAGGCACAGCAUGGGUGCACGGUUGAUGCUGAGCCUGCCUGGUGUGCUUCUCCCCGCUGUGCCCAGGGUACCGGCAUCGCUGCGGUGAAAUCCAGCUUCUGUCACUAUGGCAACGAUGAGGGAUGGCAGGGAACAGCCAUGGGGCUGCCCCCUCCCCCCCCCCCCCCCGCCGUGUCCUUAUGUGUCCCCGGAGCUCAGGCAGAACAGCUUCCAGGCUGGGGAUACCGCUCAUCCACCCUGCUGUGGGUUGUGCUGGGAGCUGGGAGGGAUCCAGCACCCUGUGCUGCACCCACAGGGAUGGAUCCUGAGUGUUUGGAGGCACGGAGGAGGGACCCACAGGCUUAACCAGCUCCCCCAGCACAGCCCCAG